UCUACGGGUGGCAGCAGUGGGGAAUAUUGGGCAAUGGGCGCAAGCCUGACCCAGCAACGCCGCGUGAAGGAAGAAGGCUUUCGGGUUGUAAACUUCUUUUCUCAGGGACGAAGCAAGUGACGGUACCUGAGGAAUAAGCCACGGCUAACUACGUGCCAGCAGCCGCGGCAAUACGUAGGUGGCAAGCGUUAUCCGGAUUUACUGGGUGUAAAGGGCGUGUAGGCGGGAAAGCAAGUCAGAUGUGAAAACCAUGGGCUUAACCUGUGGCCUGCAUUUGAAACUGUUUUUCUUGAGUACUGGGGAGGCAGACGGAAUUCGUGGUGUAGCGGUGAAAUGCGUAGAGAUUAGGAGGAACACCAGUGGCGAAGGCGGUCUGCUGGACAGCAACUGACGCUGAGGCGCGAAAGCGUGGGGAGCAAACAGGAUUAGAUACCCCAGUAGUC
rnacentral:rRNA from 1 species